AAAUUGAAGAGUUUGAUCAUGGCUCAGAUUGAACGCUGGCGGCAGGCCUAACACAUGCAAGUCGAACGGUAACAGGAAGCAGCUUGCUGCUUUGCUGACGAGUGGCGGACGGGUGAGUAAUGUCUGGGAAACUGCCUGAUGGAGGGGGAUAACUACUGGAAACGGUGGCUAAUACCGCAUAACGUCGCAAGACCAAAGAGGGGGACCUUCGGGCCUCUUGCCAUCAGAUGUGCCCAGAUGGGAUUAGCUAGUUGGUGAGGUAACGGCUCACCAAGGCGACGAUCCCUAGCUGGUCUG
rnacentral:rRNA from 1 species